GUUAGGAUAGCUGAGUGGUCUAAGGCACCUGACUCAAAAGAGAGCUGCCUUUUGUAGCAGAUGGGUGUUCUGGUCUCCGUAAGGAGAUCUGGGUUCGAAUCCCACUGCUGACA
rnacentral:tRNA from 1 species